GCAGGGGUUGCCAAGUCUGGUCGGACUUCUUUCUUUUGGAAAAGAAAGACCUCCACUAGAAAGAAAAUCCCAGAAAAAGGCGCAAGGCUCAGAACCUUGUCCCUCAGUGGGUUCGGGGGUUCAAAUCAAGCCUUUCUCUUUUGCAAAAGAGAAACCCUUGGGAAAGAGAAAACGGCUUGUGAACAUCCCUCCCCCUGCA
rnacentral:tRNA from 1 species